UAGGGAAUAUUGGUCAGUGGGCGCAAGCCUGAACCAGCCAUGCCGCGUGCAGGAUGACGGCCCUCAGGGUUGUAAACUGCUUUUAUAUGGGAAUAAAAAAGUCCUUGCGAGGACUCUUGAAGGUACCAUAAGAAUAAGCACCGGCUAACUCCGUGCCAGCAGCCGCGGUAAUACAGAGGAUGCAAGCGUUAUCCGGAAUUAUUGGGCGUAAAGCGUCCGUAGGCGGUUUAUCAAGUCAGUUGUUAAAGACUGCAGCUCAACUGUGGGCGAGCAACUGAAACUGAUGAACUAGAGUGCGGUAGGGGUAGAGGGAAUUCCCAGUGUAGCGGUGAAAUGCGUAGAUAUUGGGAAGAACACCAGUGGCGAAGGCGCUCUACUGGGCCGCAACUGACGCUGAGGGACGAAAGCUAGGGGAGCGAAAGGGAUUAGAUACCCCGGUAGUCC
rnacentral:rRNA from 1 species